UACGAAGGGGGCUAGCGUUGUUCGGAAUUACUGGGCGUAAAGCGCACGUAGGCGGCUUUCUAAGUCAGGGGUGAAAUCCUGGAGCUCAACUCCAGAACUGCCUUUGAUACUGGAGAGCUUGAGUCCGGGAGAGGUGAGUGGAACUCCGAGUGUAGAGGUGAAAUUCGUAGAUAUUCGGAAGAACACCAGUGGCGAAGGCGGCUCACUGGCCCGGUACUGACGCUGAGGUGCGAAAGCGUGGGGAGCAAACAGG
rnacentral:rRNA from 1 species